rnacentral:rRNA from 1 species
AUCAUCGAAGAGCUGCUAGAUGAGUUACACGGUGCUCAAUGGUUCUCGAAGUUGGACCUUCGUGCUGGGUACCACCAAAUCAGGUUGACAGAAGGGGAAGAGUACAAGACAGCUUUUCAAACUCAUUCAGGGCAUUUUGAAUUCCUGGUAGUCUCAUUUGGCCUCGCAGGCGGUCCAGCCACCUUCAAUGGAGCCAUUCAUCUCACAUUGAAUCCCCUCCUAAGGCACUGCGUCCUCUUGUUCUUCGAUGACAUACUUGUUUUCAUCCGGACCUUGCAAGAUCACCUGAAACAUUUGCGCCAAACUUUGGAGUUGCUUCGGCGAGACCACUGGAAAGUGAAGAUGAGUAGUGCUCGUUUGGUC